CAAAGCUUCAAUCUUUUUCCUCUGUGAACUCUUACCAAGAAGCACAAGAUACCAAGCCUGACUCCCGAGAACCGACAUCGAGUGAAGAUUGCCUCUGGGAUCCUCUGAUCAUCGUUAGGAAGCCUAGAGAAACGUAAACUAAACAAGCGCGAUGGAGGGUGUGGUCGUGAAAGAAGAGAAAGAGACGGUGACUUGUGCUGGAGGUUUCUCUUCUUCUUCCUCAUCUUCAAGCUUCCAACCGCAGCCGAUGGAGGGGCUGCACGAAGUUGGUCCUCCUCCCUUUCUGAACAAGACUUAUGAAAUGGUGGAAGACCCUUCAACGGAUUCCGUUGUUUCUUGGAGCAGAGCUCGCAACAGCUUUAUUGUUUGGGACUCUCAUAAUUUCUCCACUACUCUGCUUCCUAAGUAUUUCAAGCACAAUAACUUCUCCAGCUUCAUUCGCCAGCUUAACACUUAUGGAUUCAGAAAAGUUGAUCCUGAUCGAUGGGAAUUUGCAAAUGAAGGGUUUCUGAGAGGGCAGAAGCAUCUACUGAAGACCAUCAAAAGAAGAAGACAUGUUUCUCAAAGUAUGCAGCAGCAAAGUGAAGGACCUUGCGUUGAAGUUGGAGAGUUUGGAUUGGAAGGUGAGCUAGAGAGAUUAAAAAGAGAUAGAAGUGUGCUAAUGGCAGAAAUCGUGAGGCUUCGGCAUCAACAACAGCAGUCAAGGGAACAAAUAGCUGCAAUGGAGGAUAGGUUACAAAGUACAGAGAGAAAACAACAGCAGAUGAUGACAUUCCUUGCUAAGGCUCUCAACAAUCCAUCCUUUGUCCAGCAACUCUCUCGGAGGAGUAUGCAGAGGAGAGAACUGAGAGGUGUUGAAAUUGGGCGCAAGCGGAGACUCAUGGCAAGCCCAAGUUUAGAAAAUUUGCAAGAGGAAGCUGCUUCUAUGGCGAUUGGUGUUGGCCAAGUUGUGGAUUACACGAAUCAAGAAUUGGGAACUAUAGAAACGGAGAUAGAUACAUUGUUCUCCUUGGAUAAUGAAUCAAGCAGUGAUGUCGGGGAUCCAAUAGCAUGUUCUACACAAGGGACUGGCGUGGAUAAUUGGGGUUCUGUGAGUGAGACUAUUUGGGAGUUGCUGAAUGAUGAUGUAAUUGCUGGCAAUCCCAAUGAAGAAGUUAUCCCAGAUGAUGAACUGGAAUUUGAUGUAGAAGUUGAGGAUUUGGUUGCAAAACCUGAGGAUUGGGGUGAGGAAUUGCGAGACCUUGUGGAUCAAAUGGUUUAUCUAAGGUCCAAGCCAUGAUAUAACAGAAUGCUGUUAUGAAAUGGUUUUGAUAUUGUUCUCAGUUGCUCUCUGCAACUACAUUCCUGUUUUAAUAAUGGGAAUGUUGAAAGUUGCAGUGGGGCCAACAGAUGUUCCUGUUCUUCUGUAUCCUUUGAUGAUUGUCUAGUUUUUUCAACAUUUUCUACGAAAAUUUGUUUAAUUGAUUCUAACAAUUUGUGAUUCUAUUGAUUGUUCUGUACGACAUUUUGCAGGCAGGUGGAGCAAAGAGGAUCAUUAGGGAGGGGUUUCAAUUCCAGGCUAGUCUAAGGGGUCUUGGACUCUACCCUGCUGUCUGUCUAUACAUGUUUGAUGUUUCCUUUGCUCGAGGCUAUGCGAGUUUCUGCAAUGUUGUACAUAAGUAGAUAGAACAUAGUUUGGUAUAGUAAUUACUAAGUUGAAUGAAAUUACCAAUUAAAAUUGGCGGUGAAAAUUUCCCCCAUGACAAAUUUUUUCUAUUUUUUGCCCUCCAUUUAAUUGUAUUGAUCAGGAGACACAUUCAUACAUGUAUAGACAGACAGCAGGGUAGAGU
rnacentral:misc_RNA from 1 species